rnacentral:tRNA from 1 species
GUCUCGUUCGUCUAGAGGCCUAGGACACCGCCCUUUCACGGCGGCAACACGGGUUCGAAUCCCGUACGA